rnacentral:rRNA from 1 species
GGGCAGACUAGAGUGCGGUAGGGGAGAUUGGAAUUCCUGGUGUAGCGGUGGAAUGCGCAGAUAUCAGGAGGAACACCGAUGGCGAAGGCAGAUCUCUGGGCCGUAACUGACGCUGAGGAGCGAAAGGGUGGGGAGCAAACAGGCUUAGAUACCCUGGUAGUCCACCCCGUAAACGUUGGGAACUAGUUGUGGGGUCCAUUCCACGGAUUCCGUGACGCAGCUAACGCAUUAAGUUCCCCGCCUGGGGAGUACGGCCGCAAGGCUAAAACUCAAAGGAAUUGACGGGGACCCGCACAAGCGGCGGAGCAUGCGGAUUAAUUCGAUGCAACGCGAAGAACCUUACCAAGGCUUGACAUAUACGAGAACGGGCCAGAAAUGGUCAACUCUUUGGACACUCGUAAACAGGUGGUGCAUGGUUGUCGUCAGCUCGUGUCGUGAGAUGUUGGGUUAAGUCCCGCAACGAGCGCAACCCUCGUUCUAUGUUGCCAGCACGUAAUGGUGGGAACUCAUGGGAUACUGCCGGGGUCAACUCGGAGGAAGGUGGGGAUGACGUCAAAUCAUCAUGCCCCUUAUGUCUUGGGCUUCACGCAUGCUACAAUGGCCGGUACAAAGGGCUGCAAUACCGUGAGGUGGAGCGAAUCCCAAAAAGCCGGUCCCAGUUCGGAUUGAGGUCUGCAACUCGACCUCAUGAAGUCGGAGUC